CCUAGGGUUUCUAACAAUGACACUCUCCCUUCUUUCCUUUCUUCCUCCCUCUUCCCCACGUCCUCUCUCUCUUGGCCAUUGCCUUAUCCGAACAGCUUCACAUUGGUGGGAGGAAGCGCUAUUCACUUGUCUUUUCUCUUUCAACGAAUAGAAUGGCGCAACAACAGGGGUUUACGGCAGCAGGGAGUCUCUCGAACACCUUCUCUAUCUCUUGUUUUGUUCUUUCUUCACCAUGUUGCAGUGGUGAAAUCGUUUUUUUACAGAACACCGCCCCCCACUACUAUAACUCUUCCCGUCGCCACUACAAUCUCUCUCUUUCUCUCUCUCUCCAUCACUCGUCGUUUUCACUAACCCAUCGAAGCAACUAUUCGCUUAUUCCUUCUUCUCGACACCGAACACAGCGGCAGCAGGGAACACCACAACGGCAUUCCUUCUGAGUCUAAGCUAAGUUCGUGAUUCAAUAGCAAUCAGUCCUACACCCGCUCCCUGCUACAAUGAUUAGCAUCGCCCUAUUAAAUUCUUCCAAGCCGAAGCUUGUCUAGAGUUUCCCGUCUUCGUUCAUCAAUCAUUCUUAGGCCAAAACCCAAUCAAGGAUUAAAUUUUAGAGGCAUUUCAUCCGCCCACCUCCUGCGUCCUAUAAUUCCUUCCCAAACUAAUACAUUGGGCACGAGAGAGAGAAAUCGGAAUACUGUAUGCUGGGGCUCUAAUGCCAGAAAUUCCAUUACCGGUGGUUGGAUCAGAAAUUCCCUACAGACGUGCUUUCCACCAACUCUGGCAUCCGCUACCACAGGAUGAUGGAUCACCGCCUUUCUUGCAUCUUCGUCUUUCUUGGCGAUAUUCUUAAUCGAACGGUUAAUCAGCAAUUUACAGAGGAAUGGUGAGCAUAGGGUGAUCCUUCUAUAGAUUUCACCACACAAUUCAUUGGUAUUACCAGGGGAAACAGAUCGAAUUCCUAUGCAUCGGAUUCUGCUUUCUUUUUCUUAAUGGAAAAUCUCAUCUUCAGGUGCGUGGGCUCAGGAUGCCACGGCUGGUUCUACAGUGUCAUGGCCGGUUCCACAAUGUCGCAUGCUCCAUGUGAAGGCCCUCGCAACCCUAGGAGCGCUCACACAUACCUUGGUCAGUUCCAAGAUGUCGCGGCCGGUUCCGCGAUGCCAUGGCCAAUUUCACGAUGCUGCAUGUUCCAUGUGAAGGUUCUGGCAACCCCAGGCACACAUAUACAUACCCUAACCGGUUUCGGGAUGUCGUGGCCGGUUCCACAAUGCCGUAGGCUCCAUGCAAAGUCCCUGGCAACCCCAAGCAUGAUGACUCCUUCACACAUUGUGACGCUUUACACUUGUAUUAUAGUACUUAAUCCCUUCAUUAUGACUAGCCCUACCUUUUACAUGCGAUGCAAUCUUACUCUUCUUAUGGGAUGAAAUUUAAUUUUCUUUAUUUGCGAUGAUAUUUACCUCUCAUAUACGAUGACAUUUAA